AGGACGAACGCUGGCGGCGUGCUUAACACAUGCAAGUCGAACGAGGUGCUUGCACCUAGUGGCGAACGGGUGAGUAACACGUGAGCAACCUGCCCUUGGCUCUGGGAUAGCCUCCGGAAAACGGGGAUUAAUACCGGACAUGACCUGCUCCUGCAUGGGAGCGGGUGGAAAGUUUUUCGGCCAGGGAGGGGCUCGCGGCCUAUCAGCUUGUUGGGGGGGUAACGGCCCACCAAGGCGACGACGGGUA
rnacentral:rRNA from 1 species